rnacentral:tRNA from 1 species
GCCAGUGUGGCACAGUGGGUAGGGAACUGGUCUCGUAACCGAAAGGUCGCCGGUUCGAUUCCCCGGUCGGACACUGCCG